rnacentral:lncRNA from 1 species
CACAGAGAGACGCAGUCACCCACAGCCUCGGGACACAGGAGAAGUUAUCAUGGCCAGAGUCCCUGACAUGUUUGAGGAGCUCAAUCCCUGCAACAGUGAAAAUGAGGGAUUUAUUUUGGAUACUGACCAAGUCUCACUGAGUCAGGAGUCCUUCUACCCUAGUGCCAGCCCAUACCACAAAGAGAACUGGACAAAAGUAGAGAUUUCUGAGCAGACGCACCAUCUUAACUUACAAGAGUAUGCGGGAGAAACAGUUGUCCAAAGGGAAAUAGAAAAGAAGAGACAACUUUCCAGGAGCCAUCCCAUCACCAAUGAUUACCUGGUUAACGUUGGCAGCAUUCCAGAAGAAAAUAAAGAUGUAAUCAAAUACAGGUUGGACUCCACCGUUCAAAACAAUGUGGUGUAUGAGUUCCACUCCUUUAUAACUGACCAAAAAGUGACAGACCAGAAAUAUCGGAAUUUAACGCGAUGUGAAAGCACCCUGAGAGCUAUGGCUACACAAGACGCGACACG